ensembl:lncRNA
CAACACUACAGCUUGUAGUACACUGUGUUACAAACAUCUAUGCUAUAACAAAUAUAAUUAGAUAAGCAUGCAUAUGUCUGAAGCUGGCCUGAGCUGUAACGAGCUGUGAAGAGGUAAGCAGGAGAUACCAGUGAUGUUUGAAAAAAGCUCGCUGUUUGGAGGUCCAUCAGGUCUGCAGAUUUCCAGUGUUAGCAAGCAUAGCUGAAUAGAUCUCCAGAGAAUUGUUUGUUUCUGAACAGAAUAACUUGUAUUCGCAGAGCUUUGCAAUGAAAAACUGAACUUCAGGACGCCAUAGAUCUUUCCACAGUAGAGACGCAGAAUGGUUUCUUCCUUGCCAUGGCCCAUGGCACUGCCAUGAACAUGCAGUUGCUUGGACUCCAGGUCAGUUUUAAUAAGGAUGUACCACAGUCCUGAACUGUGGUAGGACCAUGGCUUCCACUGUCAAGAUUCACAGGCUUCUACAUUCCUUAUGGUAAUUAUGAAAAUUAUUUGAUGCUAUGAAUAAUUGAGAGAACUUCAGAAAAAGAAAAAGGGCUGGCUUUUUAAUCUUGUGUUUUGUUUUUCUUCAUUUUCAAACUUGUGGUUUCCAAAUGGCAAUGACUGUCAUUUCUCUCAGGCAUAACUCAAUUAAGGUAAGUCUCAUGACACUUCAUAUUUUCUUGAUUUGUACAUAGAAAUUGUCUGUCAAGAAUAAUGCCAUUUUCUGCUGAGUGUUUUUGUGUUUCCAAACUUGGAAUGUGUUCUCUAUGGUCUUUGUCAUUUGUUGUGCUAGGGUGAAUGUUCCUGAUUUGCUCUUUGAAUAUUUGAUAAAGCAAACAAAUAAAACAAUGGGAUAAAUAAAACAAUGGGGUAACAAUAUUUGCCCUGCACUGGCUCCUGCACAUCUUCAUCUUGCAUUCAAACAAUUGUUCUUACUUUAAGUAGAUGUUGUAGUAAUAGAUGUAUACUAAGUAGGUGUAGUAGUAGAAGUAAUGUGCAGCUGGAUCAUUAUUGAACCAACUAUGUAACCAAGGGAUAUGGCCUUUAUCAAAUUUAAUAAAACUUUCAGGACUACAGAAAGAAUGCACUCGUCUUUAAAAAUCAUGCUAUUCAAAUGAAAGCUUAACAAACUCAAAUUCUUGUUUGUAGAAAGCCAGCCGAUCAUUGUUUUCCAAUAGGAAUUACUAAUUUUAACAAAGCACUGUAUUUCUUUCGAUGCUUUGCAAUGGCAGUCAUGUUUCAUGUUGAGUAUUUUUUCUUUCCCUUUGACAUGGAGAUGAGAAUCUGGCCUGUAUGUUGUAAUUAAUGGUAAGAGAAGUAUACAAAUACAAGCAUGUCUAAAUACGUAAAUACAAGUCAGGCUAUUAAUUCA